GACGAACCGUCCUAACGUUGUUCGGAAUCACUGGGCUUAAAGGGCGCGUAGGCGGGUUCCCAAGUCGGUGGUGAAAUCUUUCGGCCCAACCGGAAAACAGCCGCCGAUACUGGGAGUCUUGAGGGAGGUAGGGGUCGAUGGAACUUCCGGUGGAGCGGUGAAAUGCGUAGAUAUCGGGAGAACACCAGUGGCGAAGGCGGCGCCUGGGCCA
rnacentral:rRNA from 1 species